GUGGGGAAUAUUGGACAAUGGGCGAAAGCCUGAUCCAGCAAUGCCGCGUGAGUGAUGAAGGCCCUAGGGUUGUAAAGCUCUUUUACCAGGGAUGAUAAUGACAGUACCUGGAGAAUAAGCUCCGGCUAACUCCGUGCCAGCAGCCGCGGUAAUACGGAGGGAGCUAGCGUUGUUCGGAAUUACUGGGCGUAAAGCGCGCGUAGGCGGUUUUUUAAGUCAGAGGUGAAAGCCCGGGGCUCAACCCCGGAAUUGCCUUUGAAACUUGAAAACUUUAAUCUUGGAGAGGUCAGUGGAAUUCCGAGUGUAGAGGUGAAAUUCGUAGAUAUUCGGAAGAACACCAGUGGCGAAGGCGACUGACUAGACAAGUAUUGACGCUGAGGUGCGAAAGCGUGGGGAGCAAACAGGAUUAGAAACCCUUGUAGUCC
rnacentral:rRNA from 1 species